ensembl:lncRNA
GAAAGGUAACCCAACUGGAGGCUGCCCAGAGAACUUCACGGUGCCUUACGCAGCGGAGCAGGGGGAGCUGGAGGUGGGAGGAGUCUACCUCAGAAUCUUCAUCGCUCAGCCGAGACUUCAUGGUGUCUCUACUGGAGACCCUCACCGAAUUACAUGAGAAGAACAACCUCAACGGCGAGGCCUUGAAGACGGUUACCACAGUAGCGGUGUGUUUAUUCAGCACGCAGACGCAGCUGCUGAUCAGGUGCUUCCUCUGGGCCACCUGCCACGGAGUGGAUACCUGACCACAGGCACAAGAGUCACUGUGAUGUCCAAUGUCCCUCCCCCGGUUGACAACAACAUUGGAGACCGGGGCUGAACGCGCAUCCAUCUCCCCCCUGCUCCC